AUGAUCUCUCCAAACAGGCACAAGCUUAUCGCCAAAUUAAGUCCCGGCCGUGAGGCUUAUCCAGGGGAUGUUUUCUAUUUGCAUUCGCGCCUUUUAGAAAGAGCCGCGAAAUUAAAUUCUCUUUUAGGCGAAGGAAGUAUGACCGCUUUACCAAUAGUUGAGACUCAAUCUGGAGACGUUUCCGCCUAUAUUCCUACUAAUGUAAUCUCCAUUACAGAUGGACAAAUAUUCUUAUCUGCGGAUCUAUUCCAUGCCGGAAUUCGACCCGCUAUUAAUGUGGGUAUUUCAGUUUCCAGAGUAGGAUCCGCGGCUCAAAUUAAAGCCAUGAAACAAGUAGCUGGCAAAUCCAAAUUGGAACUAGCUCAAUUCGCAGAGUGACAAGCCUAUUUCGCCUCUGCUCUCGAUAAAACAAGUCAGAAUCAAUUGGCAAGGGGUCGACGAUUAAGUGAAUUGCUUAAACAAUCCCAAGCAAAUCCUCUCCCAGUGGAAGAGCAGAUAGCUACUAUUUAUACCGGAACAAGAGGAUAUCUUGAUUCGUUAGAAAUUGAACAGGUAAAGAAAUAG
rnacentral:rRNA from 1 species